rnacentral:lncRNA from 1 species
UGUGUAUAUAUAUAUAUAAACCAAUCUGGGUAUCAGGUAUAGUCACUGCAGCUGAUAUGUCAUCCUUCUAGGCUCUCUUAGUGGAUAGAAUGAACACAUGCAUACAUUUGUGUUUAUUUCUUUAUUUAUAUAUUAAAACAUGGUCCACAUUGAUAACUCCAGUUCUAAUCAACACCACUGAUUUAUGCUUGCUUUCUUCUCAACCAUAUUUAUAGCUCUCUUUCCAGUGAGAAACCUGGUUUCCAUUAUCCUUGAUGUAUUCAGUUUUGUGCCCAAACUCUUACAGUGAAGGCCAGAAGCACAAAGGGAAAGGAAGAAGAGGGGGCAGAGAAGGGACAGAAGGUACAUGGGAGGAAAAAGUUUGUUUUCUUUUCUUAUUUUGCAUUUGUCUCCCAUUUCCAACAAGGGAAGGACAGAGUCUCAGAGGCUUGCAGGAGAAGGGACAGGUGCCCAAGAGGAAGGGGGCUGUGCAAUUUCUGCAAUUUGGGGUCUUCCUUUAAUCUGUGUCUCUGUUGAUCUCUGUCUUUACGAAGAAGGAUUCAGCUCAGAUUCAAAGGAAAACAGCUGGAGCCUUAAUGAUACCAUACUCAAAUAACAC